rnacentral:pre_miRNA from 4 species
UCUUGUGGAUGAGCAAAAAAAGUGUUUUCUUGAGAUGGAAUCUGCUCCUGGUGAAGAUGCUGUGAA